rnacentral:sRNA from 1 species
UUCUAGCCCUGAUCGCAGUGGAUACCGCUUACGUCUGAAAAGAAGUAAGUGGUAGAAACGAAGAGCAGGAAGGGUU